rnacentral:tRNA from 1 species
UCUUGAGGACUAGUGGUUAGGCCACGGCGCUCUCAUCGCCAUGGCCCCGGUUCGAUUCCCGGCCAGGGAA